CGACGCCGCCCGGACGCCAUCGACCGGGACCUCUCAGCUGUCACAGCAAGGUCACCGCCGGCGCCUCCUCCAAGAUCUCCUCUAAUUCUGCCCUUUGAAGAAGGCUUGAUCAAUUGCGAUGUCGUUGACCCGGACCUCAUCCUCAAGCUCGAGUGGAACCACUUCUCCGCCUAGACAGCAUACCUUAGUUUCUGGUGAAGGACAUAUCUUAAACAGGGACGUCUUUGCUGGGUUGGAGACUUGGGAGGAUCCCACUCCUAGACCAUCAACUUUUACUCUCAAGGAGCUGGAUGAUGCCUGGGUUGCUAAUGCAA